AAUAGGGCACGAAUUUGGCCAGAUGAUGAUUUUUGACUAUCCUUCUUUUUCGAUUUUCUUUUUUUGCCAUUGUUUUG
rnacentral:ribozyme from 16 species